rnacentral:rRNA from 1 species
CAGCAGCCGCGGUAAUACGUAGGGUGCAAGCGUUAAUCGGAAUUACUGGGCGUAAAGCGUGCGCAGGCGGUUUGUUAAGACAGAUGUGAAAUCCCCGGGCUCAACCUGGGAACUGCAUUUGUGACUGGCAAGCUAGAGUCUGGCAGAGGGGGGUGGAAUUCCGCGUGUAGCAGUGAAAUGCGUAGAUAUGCGGAGGAACACCGAUGGCGAAGGCAGCCCCCUGGGCCAACACUGACGCUCAUGCACGAAAGCGUGGGGAGCAAACAGGAUUAGAUACCCGUGUAGUCCCUGUCUCUUAUAA